UUGCUCAUUUCGGCAGCACAUAUAGUAAAAUUAGAAAGAUCUAGAGAAUAUUAGAUAUGGCUUCUGUGCCAGGAUCCUAUAAAGAUGUGUGAAGAGUUCCACAUUUAU